GGGGAACAGACAAGACUAACAAGGAGAGAAACCUCAGAAAAAAAGAUUAUACAAGAGGGAAAAGCUAAAGCUUGUGGAAUCUUCCCAAUUCGAUAUGGAUUCGGGGAGUUUUGCAAGAGUCAAAGUUCUGAAGAUUUUAUUAUGGACACAAGGAGCACAGGACCAGGGAUAGGAACAUGUAGAAGUUUCGACAUAUCUCAAGAACUAGCCAAUUAGCUAAUGUAAUGGAAGUGUUUAAGAGUUGGCCAUGAGAUUUGUUUAAUACGUUAUUGGAUAUUUCAGAAUUUAUGAAGCAUUUUGAUUAUAUAAAUAUUGUAAAAAGGAUAAAACAUUCACACAACGCCAGUUAAAACUCGAAAUUGCAUG